UAAACUUGUCUAAAGUCAAACUUCUUCAAAUUUGACCAAGAUUAUAGGAAAAUAUACUAAUAUCUACAAUCUCAAGUAAGUAUACUACGAAGAUAUAUAUCAUAACAGAUUUAAUAAAACUAAGUUAGAGUGAUAGAUGUUGGUAUAUUUUUCUACAAACUUGGUCAAACUUUAAGAAGUUUGACUUAUGACAAAUCUAG
rnacentral:pre_miRNA from 1 species